rnacentral:lncRNA from 1 species
GUUUCCCUCUGUGGUUUCCACAGAUUCACGUACAACUGUCAGAAUUGGUAAAUAAACUGUCAUUAUUGACCCUUUCACAAAGCUCUGCAUUGCAUGGCUGUACAUUCAUGCCAUUUAAAGAUACUUAGGAACAUAACUACUGCAUCCUUUGCAGGAGAAAGAAGGCUGUUUUAAAAAAGAGGAAAUUAGAGUGAAUGGUUUGUAGCUACAGAAUAAAGGUUUCAGCACAGUUCCAGCCAAAUUUCAAGAGCAAAGAACAACACAAAAGGAAGCAAAUGAAAAUAAAACUACUACAGGGAAGAUAAAACAGGCAAAUAAUAAACAAGGCAUAAGAGACAUCAACAGACUGAGAAAAUAAUUACUUCAUGUUGCUCUUAAAGUUCAAAUGAAUAACAGCUGUUGGCACGGUUUUGCUUUUUAUAAAUAAUAUUAUUUAUUUUUUAAAUGACAAUGAUUAUAUACAAUGUGAUGUUUCAUAAAGAUACAAUAACUAGGUACAUUGUAGAAAAAUUAAAUCAAGGUUUUAGUUUUUAAACCUUAAUUUGACUCUUGUUUUCUUGUCCUAUAAUUGUUAAAGAUUACUUUGUCAUUUACAAACUAAAUGAUCAAAAUAAAAAUACGAUUGAAUUAUGUAUAACCAAGACAACAUAUUUUAUUGAUUUUAAAUAGUCACAUAAAAAGCACUCAAGAUAAGAAUUGGAAUCUCCCAUACACUGAAAGUAAGUCUAAGACCAAGUAAGAGAGGUGCCAGCUAAUCUAACACCACACCAUGAUUUACUAGUAAGUAUCAAAUAUUUAAAACUUUCCUUUGUGGCCUCAUGCUCCAUGAAUUUUACUUAUAAUAAAGUUAUUUUUUCAAAUAAUAUAUUUCUGUGUACUCUAGGGGAUACAUAAUAUAUUGUGAAAAUGUGGGCUUUAUUAGGAAAUAUUGGGCAGUUUUACACCCAUUGCAUAAUUUAGCCCAAGGACUGAAAAUCAGUGUCAUUGAUUUUUAUUUUUUCCCAGUGGAAGUAAGGUCAAUCUUAGAACACUUUUUAAGAAAUAAAGUUUAUAAUUAAUUAGAUUUUUAAAGUAUAAUUAUUUAUUGAAUCUAUGCAAUUUAUUUCACCU